rnacentral:rRNA from 1 species
UAACGCGUGAGGAACCUGCCUCGAAGAGGGGGACAACAGUUGGAAACGACUGCUAAUACCGCAUAAGCCCACAGCUCGGCAUCGAGCAGAGGGAAAAGGAGUGAUCCGCUUUGAGAUGGCCUCGCGUCCGAUUAGCUAGUUGGUGAGGUAAUGGCCCACCAAGGCGACGAUCGGUAGCCGGACUGAGAGGUUGAACGGCCACAUUGGGACUGAGACACGGCCCAG